GGACACUUGUCUUGGAUCUGCCUAUGGCGGCAUAGUGACAUAUCUCUGCACUGAUCACUCAUGUGAUGUAACGCUUGUCUAAGCUGCGCCUAAAGGGGAAUUGUGACAGAUAUCUCCACUGAUCACCCAGGUGAUGUAACAAUUUUCUGGGAUUUGUCUACAGGGGGCUUUGUGACAUAUCUUUGCACUGAUCACCCAGGAGAUGUAACUCUUGUGUAGGCUCCAACUAC
rnacentral:lncRNA from 1 species